rnacentral:rRNA from 1 species
UACAGAGGGCCCAAGCGUUGUUCGGAUUCACUGGGCGUAAAGGGUGCGUAGGCGGUUGGGCAAGUCUGGUGUGAAAUCUCACAGCUUAACUGUGAAACUGCAUUGGAUACUAUCCGGCUAGAGGAAUGGAGGGGAGACUGGAAUACUUGGUGUAGCAGUGAAAUGCGUAGAUAUCAAGUGGAACACCAGUGGCGAAGGCGAGUCUCUGGACAUUUCCUGACGCUGAGGCACGAAAGCCAGGGGAGCAAACGGG